rnacentral:rRNA from 1 species
GAUGAACGCUGGCGGCGUGCCUAAUACAUGCAAGUCGAGCGAACGGACGAGAAGCUUGCUUCUCUGAUGUUAGCGGCGGACGGGUGAGUAACACGUGGAUAACCUACCUAUAAGACUGGGAUAACUUCGGGAAACCGGAGCUAAUACCGGAUAAUAUUUUGAACCGCAUGGUUCAAAAGUGAAAGACGGUCUUGCUGUCACUUAUAGAUGGAUCCGCGCUGCAUUAGCUAGUUGGUAAGGUAACGGCUUACCAAGGCAACGAUGCAUAGCCGACCUGAGAGGGGGAUCGGCCACAGGGGAACGGAGACACGGUACAGACGACGACGGGAGGCAGCAGUAGGGAAGGGUCGGCAAGGGGCGAAAGCCGGACGGAGUAAAGCCGCGGGAGUGAAGAAGGUCUUCGGAUCGUAAAACUCUGUUAUUAGGGAAGAACAAAUGUGUAAGGAACGAUGCACGGCGUGACGGUACCUAAUCAGAAAGCCACGGCUAACUACGUG